AACGCGAAGAACCUUACCUGGGCUCGAACGGCUCCCUAACGACUGUGGAAACAUGGUUACCCCGCAAGGGGGUGGAGUCGAGGUGCUGCAUGGCUGUCGUCAGCUCGUGUCGUGAGAUGUUGGGUUAAGUCCCGCAACGAGCGCAACCCUUACCCCCAGUUGCCAUCAUUCAGUUGGGCACUCUGGUGGAACCGCCUCGGAUAACGGGGAGGAAGGUGGGGAUGACGUCAAGUCCUCAUGGCCUUUAUGUCCAGGGCUACACACGUGCUACAAUGGCCGGUACAAACCGUCGCAAAGCCGCGAGGUGGAGCUAAUCGGAAAAAGCCGGCCUCAGUUCGGAUCGCAGUCUGCAACUCGACUGCGUGAAGCUGGAAUCGCUAGUAAUCGUGGAUCAGAAUGCCACGGUGAAUACGUUCCCGGGCCUUGUACACACCGAGACGUA
rnacentral:rRNA from 1 species